rnacentral:rRNA from 1 species
CGUGGCGGACGGGUGAGUAACGCGUGGGUAACCUGCCUCAUACAGGGGGAUAACGGUUAGAAAUGACUGCUAAUACCGCAUAAGCGCACAGUACCGCAUGGUACGGUGUGAAAAACUCCGGUGGUAUGAGAUGGACCCGCGUCUGAUUAGCUAGUUGGUGGGGUAACGGCCCACCAAGGCGACGAUCAGUAGCCGACCUGAGGGGGUGACCGGCCACAUUGGGACUGAGACACGGCCCAG